GUUUCCUACCUACCCUGAAUCAAAAAAAUAAUGUAUUUUAUUUCUUAGAUUUUUACUUACCUUUUUUUGUGUCAGGAGCAACUUGAGAAACUGCAAGUCGCUUCUGGUGUGAGAGAAUUGGCCAUCUGCAAGGACAUUGCCCAGGGGACGCCCGGAUGUUUUUACCAUCUAUGUGAAAGGCUUCUCUCAUGUCCCCGCAUGGAGCUGGAGCUGGUAGAGGGAGCUCAUUCGCGCUCUCCCCAGGUUGGAUUUGAACCGGCAACUUUCAGGUCAGCAACCCAACCUUAUUAACUAAUAAAUCAGCAUGCUUGACCAAGGGAAAUAAACUAAAUAUUGCAUUUCAGCAUUGGGAGUGAUUUGUUAAUUUCCUCACAUCAACAACCGUGUAAUGUCUGUGAGGCAUAUCUGGAAGCCUCUUACUCCCUGAUAAAAUGAUGCAGGUGACUUCUAUUUGUCUUCACACUUUCUGGACACUAUGCAAGCUGAACCCCCACAAUGUUAUUCAAAAGCUUGGAGUUAUUCACAUUUCCUCCUGUGGUGGCUUGGGAGAACGAUGCCAGAAAGCACCUUUACAACUGACACAACUACAAUAUCUACUGUUAUGUUCAGUGGAGAGAGAAAGGAUGGCACACAUUUUAAAAAAGAAGCUUGCAGUUAUUGUUAUGCAAUUUCAGCUUUUAAUGACCAUUGAAUUAAUGUCCACAUGGGACUGCUGAGUUGCUUCCAGUUUUUGAAAAAUGAAAUACAUUGGUCCACUGUUAGAGUUGAUGCCCAAUAGUAAGCAAAUACGACUGACUCCUAAAUAUCUGGGGGACCAGGAGCCCCCACACCUGCAAAGGCCCCAAUGUCCAGGGUGGAAUCUGCCUCUGAUCUUUCUAUCUUGAGUUUUUCAGUUACUGACAACAUUCUAAACAGUUUCAGAACUCAAAAGAGCGUUUCCAUGGCACCCUGUUCAAAGAUCACCGCUGCCGGUCUGUUGUUUAGGUGCAUCUCAGACGGAUCGCAAGCCAGGUUCAGCUCUUGCAGCUCAAAGAGCCCAAACCAUAUUCCGGUCUCUGCUUUAGAGAUCACCAGCCAUAUUUGAGUCUUGUGUUUCAGGUCAGAAACUCAUUUGAAAGAGCUGGAGAAACCAUUAUUUGCUGAUAUCUAUCACCUGGUUGAAUCCCAUCCAGCACAGGUCCGGUCCCUAUUCCCUUGCGACUGGGCAAGAUCAUAAAUCAAUUUCUUUGCCCUCAUCCAGCCUGUUCCUGCCAACAGAAGAAUUAAUCUUGUUGUGUCUUACAGCAGGCUACCCAUUUCUCUGGGUCAAGUAGGACAUGGGGCCCUUUGUCAUAGAAAAAAGUUUUUUUCAAACCAGGAGAAGGUUUUACCUAUGUAUCACAAUGUUUCCGAAACAGAAGGGGGAUUCCUGUGUGAGAGAACGUGCAUGUGCAUAACUCCAUAAAAAUGAUUGGCUAGGUCCUGUGCCUUUCUGCAAUGGGAGUGGAGGAAUGGAGUGUGUGGCAUCCCAUGCCUGGCUCCGGCACUGGCAAGAUCAGGAAGUCUGUUUCGUGAGACUACUCCUGAAGGUGAGCCCAUGAAGAGGCAGUGCCUGGAAUUCCUGGUUGAAGAUUGGUUCCUCCCAAAGGAAAAUGCCAUCGCACAGGACCUGAUGUCUUUAGUUAGCAUUCUGCUAUCUUUAGUUUUAGUUUUCAUGUAUUUUGCCUUGUGGAACCUUUUCCACAAGGCAAGACCAAAAAAUGCUUUGCUCAUUUUUUUUCUGGGUUGCAGUUCUAAAUGCACUGUCUGGUUUCAUUAUUCUCAUCCCACCUUUUUGGAAUAUGCAUUCUGUACUAGUAAAUGAAGAGAUUGAGUUCCCCAUUGAGUUUUGUUUGCCUACUCUUCCCUCUGAGCAAACUCUUGGUUUUACCAUCUAUGUGGGGAUUUUUGCCUCAGGAUCCAGCUGACCAGUUCCUUUUUCAUUCUCAGUGAGAAAUUUCAAAUUGGGCCCAAUGGAGGCCAUCCUAUCAUUAUGGUCACUCCAAUACAUGACACAGAAACCUGUCCCUAUUGUGGAUCAUCUAUAUCUCUUGAUCAACUGCCAUCCAAAGAACAUUUUUAAUGUUUAAAGGGGUGUAAAUAUUUUAAAUUGUAGUUGUUUUUAUUGUAUGGUUUCAAAAAAUUACAUCGAGCUGUUUCUGUUUUCACUUUGUGUUUAAAAUAUGUUUGAAUGUAGAAUGAAUUGUUUGUAACUCAAUAAACUAAAAAAUAAUUGUGA